rnacentral:snoRNA from 1 species
GCAUCGCUCCGGUUGCGGCAGGCCUAACUCCAUGGCUCUUACGUGGUGCCCCCUGCCAGACACAGUGUUGUCCCCUAGUGUGCCCAGCCUCCCUGCCCACAGGCCACGAGUGCUGCUGUGAACAGCACAGUG